GCAGGAGUGCUUGAGCAUGGUCGAAGAGGGCAGACUAAGAAUCUGUCGCCAUAGGGCUAACAUCGUAGGUUCGAAUCCUACCUCCUGCACCA
rnacentral:tRNA from 1 species